UUUCCGUAGGUGAACCUGCGGAAGGAUCAUUACCGAGUGAGGUGCCCUUGGGCUCCAAACUUCCAACCCUUUUCUUUCAACCUUUUGUUGCUUUGGUCGAGCGGAGGAGUCUCAUAUCCCCCCGCCGGCUACGCUCGGUACACUUUCCUCAAAAGGUUUUUCAAAACCUUCGUGAUAACUCGUUACCAUUAAGCAAAAAAUUUUUACUUUCGAAAAAACUUUCAACAACGAAUCUCUUCGUUCUAGCAUCAAUUAAGAACUCAACGUAUCGGAAAAUCA
rnacentral:misc_RNA from 1 species